AGUAGUAUAGCUCAGUGGUAGAGCAUUCGACUGCAGAACGAUAUGUCCCCAGUUCAACCCUGGGUGCUCCCU
rnacentral:tRNA from 1 species